CUCUGGAGUCCUCUGGGACCUUUGCCUUUGGGGAGGUCAUACAACCUCUACCAAAUGCCCUUCUAGCAGGAUAGCGGGAGAACUGCUUCUCUCCGCCUGGCCUGUGGACCCUUGGUCCUCGCUGCCAGCUCCUGGGGAUUCGCCCUUCCCACCAGAGCACUGCCAGGUACAGGAAACCUCAGGAUGUUUUGGGGACCUCGAGAAGAGGAAAACACUCAAAUCUUCAGAUACCUUGUUCAACUUCCUCAGGGGAAUUUUAUAUCUGUCUAGUCGACAGAGAAGACAGUCUAAUUUUCACAGUGAAAAAUAAACUACUGCUUCUGCUCUGGUGUAAAGCACAGUCCCUACAUUUCAAGGGCAUCUGUCCCAAAGAAGAGAGCCACCAGCAGAUGGCAAUCCCCCUACAUGGAAUCUCCUUGCUGACAAAUGGCAAGUGCCUAAGGAAACUGACACCCCAGUGAAGUCACAUGCCGUUCAGAGAAACCUGAUCGCUCUGGUUAGCUUUGAUGCCAUCACAGCUUUGAUGUCCUAAUGAGGUCGGCCUGAUGAAUUUUGGACUAAAGAAGGAGAGAAGGAAGAAAGGAAGAAUGGAGACCUAUGAAAUAAUAGAUUAAACUAGACAACAGGGAUUUUAAUGAUCACUAAAGUUAGAAUGCAUGCCCAUAGUUU